GCGCCCGUGGUUGGCACGGUUCGGCCUUCUAAGCCGAAUGUCGUAGGUUCGAGUCCUACCAGGCGCG
rnacentral:tRNA from 1 species